AGAUGGGACAUUGAUGUCCAGAGAGAAGUGCAUAAUUUAUGCCAGGUCACAGAAACUGGCACAGUGGUCAGACUAUGAUCCCAGGGAGCCUGCUCACAGAGGAGUUCAGCCUGAGUCAUCUCUGCCGUCAAAUGCACCUCUCUGUCCCGGGCAGAUAAACUCAUCACUCUGGAAGGCAGGCAGGUGUGGCUUCCACCAUCCUUGAGCAAGUUUCCGGCCUCUUUCUUGAUGUCUACCUCGACUGUGAUGUCUACCUCGACUGUGAUGCCUGCCACUGUCCAUCUUUAUGUUGUCUUAAUGAGAAUCCUGGGCUUCUGACAGCCUGCGGCAACAAGUGGCUGAUGGCCUGAGACCCUCCCAAUGCUCCCCACAGUCCAGCACCUCCG
ensembl:lncRNA